rnacentral:rRNA from 1 species
UACAGAGGUCCCGAGCGUUGUUCGGAAUCACUGGGCGUAAAGGGUGCGUAGGCGGGUCUUUAAGUCAGGGGUGAAAUCCUGGAGCUCAACUCCAGAACUGCCUUUGAUACUGGGGAUCUUGAGUUCGGGAGAGGUGAGUGGAACUGCGAGUGUAGAGGUGAAAUUCGUAGAUAUUCGCAAGAACACCAGUGGCGAAGGCGGCUCACUGGCCCGAUACUGACGCUGAGGCACGAAAGCGUGGGGAGCAAACAGG